rnacentral:rRNA from 1 species
UACGUAGGGUGCAAGCGUUGUCCGGAAUUAUUGGGCGUAAAGAGCUCGUAGGCGGUCUGUUGCGUCGGCUGUGAAAACCCGGGGCUCAACCCCGGGCCUGCAGUGGGUACGGGCAGACUAGAGUGCGGUAGGGGGAGACUGGAAUUCCUGGUGUAGCGGUGAAAUGCGCAGAUAUCAGGAGGAACACCGGUGGCGAAGGCGGGUCUCUGGGCCGUAACUGACGCUGAGGAGCGAAAGCGUGGGGAGCGAACAGG